rnacentral:lncRNA from 1 species
GGUGCUCAGACACUGAGGCACCAGUGUAUCACUUAAAUCUGUGCAUGUCCUCCCCCCACACCCAGGAUCCACACAUCAAAUUAAGAGGAGUGUUAUAGUUACAUAAAUCUGACAUAAUAAAUGUGGACAGAGGGAAGGAUUUCUCUGACUAUUUUCUAAUCACGAAGGGGAUUGCUUGAACAAACCAAGGUAAAAGGAAAUGUGGAAUAUUACCAGUUAUUUAAAUACAAUCUGUCAAGUCAUAAGAUGGCUAUAAUCCACUACGAAGGUCCUAACUGUGGGGGUGAGCAAUGGUUUAGAAUGCAUUAUGAACAAACCAGGCAGCUCUAGAAUAUCUGCAGCCCUAAAAAAAAAUACAGAAUGUGAGAGAGAUUAUAAAAGUGCUGAACCUGAGAACAAAGGGACAAGGGAGACGAAAGUAGGUCAAAGUAGGUCUGAGAUCCUUUGCUUCUGAAGCUAUAGCCAGCUGAAGUUCCUCUGGUUCCAUUCGUGUGUUCCUUUCUUGGAGGACCCCACACCCAGUCCCAUACCUAGAAUGCCCCUUUAUUCUCCAUGUCUGUCAGUGGUCCAGAUCCAUAUCAGGUUCAUCUCUGUCAAAGCCUCUCUGACAUCUGCAGAGUUGGCUUUUUUCUAUUGCUCCUGUUGAAUCCUGCUCAGAAAUUUGUAAUGUUAACCACAUUGUUCUAAGUGAAUCUUUAUUUCUUCCACUAGAUUUUGAGCCCUUCCAGAGGAGUAACUUGACUCUUUCUACGAAGUCUCUCCAAUAACUGACCUUCUAUAAAAGUCUGUGGAAUAAAGGAGCAAAUGAGUCUCUAGUUUAACCCAUUCACAAGGUAUCAAGCAAUUGCUAUAUAACAGGCCUUAUGGUAAGUGGUAGAAAUAUUUUUUUUAAAUUAUUCACCACUUUCUUCUACAUCUGCUUUGAUAUUAUACUUCCAUAUUAUGUAGGUUAUAUUUUUCUCCUGUCCAACAUUUCUGAGAAGACCAUCAAAUAUUUUCUUGUAGAGUGCCAAACCUUUAAGAUCUUCACUCUAAAAUCUUGCCUUGUCAAGCAUCCAGCCUCUAACAGGAAAGAUACUGCAAAUUUGUGAAUGUAUUUGACGGUGAUCACAACUUUCCCCAAAAUAUAGGAAUACAUCUGUCACAAUAAAGCACUUAAGAACUCAUUUUGACUCUCUGAAAUAUUUAUUGCAACAAACUCAAACUUGUUCAAAUUUUUGUGCUUUUAAUUUUGCUCUCCGAAAGCGUAACUAUAUGUUAUUAUUGCUGAGGAGAGAGAAUAUGAUGCAGAGAUAUCAAUGGAAAGAACUUGUUUCUUUAGGUGCCUGGAGGGAUGAAGGGAAAAUAUGAGAUAGUAAUCUACAACCACAGUGCUUUUAGGAGUGGUAGUGAGGAAUGCUAACAUUUUUGUCAACUUCAGUUGAUUAAUGGACCCACCCUUUUGGGUUGAUAGAGGUUCUUAAAAAUGUGCAGGUGUUUCUGUAUGGGAAAUUGUUCUGUGUUGGUGAAGGAAAGAGAUUAUUUGGAGAAAGUUUUUUGAUCCCUGAUGAUGUGCCCAAAAGCACAUGUGAGAAAAGGGCACUCAACCCAAUCCUUCUUCACUUUAAAAGGACCUGGGAGCGUGAGGCUGGUGUAUCAGUCAUGAUUUCCUGUGGGAUGACCACAGAAGGGAAGUCACGUGGGUUUCCCGAGCUGCUGCUUUCAUUAGCUCAGAUCUGGCUGGUUCAUUUCUAUGUCCUAAGGGUCAGAAGGCAGAGAGAAUGUUUGUCCAAGCUAUCCAAUUGGGGACAAUGAAACCUAAACCAUAGUUUAGUGCCUUUUAAAAAUAAAAAUCUGUUCCCUGUAUUGGUUUAAUAGCAUAUGUGCACAAUAAUGUAGGGGGAAAAUACAGUAGAAGAACAGAAUUUUCAUUGAUUUUGCAUAUGGUAAAAACUGAUAGUUUCCUUAGGAUAUCUGUCUUUUAGCUCCCGUAUUCAUCAGAUUGGUUGAUCUCAAGACAGAAAUUAAGAAAAUGUAAAACUGAAAAUUAAUUAUACUUUAAUAAAAAUUUAAAAAUAAACAGCUGUAAGAAAUAACACACAUAUACACAAAGAAAAUGUAAAUCCGAAUUUGUCAGAUUUUUGUAAAGGAUAGGUAAGGUGAAAAUCUGAUUAUCCAAUAUAAUCUGCUCCCUUAAAUCCAGGGAAGUUUGGAAACUGGGAAAAUGCUAGUAGUGGUUUGAAAAAGAAGGAGAGAGAGAUUUUUAAGUUCCUAUUAUGUGCUAGCCACUGUCUUCAUAAUUUCUGAACCCUACAGUUAAAGGGUUAUUUUAAUGAUGGAGAAUUGAUAUUGAAAGAGGUUAAAAAUAACUUGACCAAAGACUCAUAAUUAACUACCAAAUGAGAAUUCAGAUCUAAGGAUAUAGGACUCUUUUCCCUGCAUUAAUACCAUUUCCACUGAACCCAGGAGUGAUACCAGUAUUUAUGAUAUUGAACAGAACAAACAAAGAACCAAAACAAGCAUUCAGUUGAGUUCUUACAUCUUGAAGCUCUUUUCCUCUUUCCCUUCUCUGUUUCUCUUUUCACGCUUUUUAUACUGAAAGUUUACCAUUCCCAGCGUAAAUUCCAAAAAUGCACCAAACACUCUUGACUCUAUUCUCUCACAAAAGAUGAAAUGACUGCUUUUCCAGAGACAUUAACUUGGAAACAUGGCAAUCAGAACAAGUGACAGAUGUUUUCAUAAGCUAAAAAAAAAAAAA